GUGGGGAAUCUUCCGCAAUGGGCGAAAGCCUGACGGAGCAACGCCGCGUGAGUGAAGAAGGCCUUCGGGCCGUAAAGCUCUGUUGCCGGGGAAGAGUGCUAUGGGGGAACCUGUAGAGGGACGGUACCCGGCGAGGAAGCCGCGGCUAACUACGUGCCAGCAGCCGCGGUAAUACGUAGGCGGCAAGCGUUGUCCGGAAUCAUUGGGCGUAAAGGGGGCGCAGGCGGGAACAUAAGUCUUUCCUGAAAGUUCGGGGCUCAGCCCCGUGAUGGGAAGGAAACUGUGUUUCUUGAGCGCGGGAGAGGGAAGCGGAAUUCCUGGUGUAGCGGUGAAAUGCGUAGAUAUCAGGAAGAACACCAGUGGCGAAGGCGGCUUCCUGGACCGCGGCUGACGCUGAGGCCCGAAAGCCAGGGGAGCGAACGGG
rnacentral:rRNA from 1 species